rnacentral:rRNA from 1 species
CCUACGGGAGGCAGCAGUGAGGAAUAUUGGUCAAUGGGCGCACGCCUGAACCAGCCAAGUCGCGUGAGGGAAGACUGCCCUACGGGUUGUAAACCUCUUUUGUCAGGGAGCAACGCCGGCCACGUGUAGCCCGACUGAGAGUACCUGAAGAAAAAGCAUCGGCUAACUCCGUGCCAGCAGCCGCGGUAAUACGGAGGAUGCGAGCGUUAUCCGGAUUUAUUGGGUUUAAAGGGUGCGUAGGCGGAAUGCCAAGUCAGUGGUAAAAUCGAGGGGCUCAACCUCGCUCCGCCGUUGAAACUGGCGGUCUUGAGUGGGCGAGAAGUAUGCGGAAUGCGUGGUGUAGCGGUGAAAUGCAUAGAUAUCACGCAGAACUCCGAUUGCGAAGGCAGCAUACCGGCGUCCAACUGACGCUGAAGCACGAAAGCGUGGGUAUCGAACAGGAUUAGAUACCCUGGUAGUC